rnacentral:rRNA from 1 species
CCUACGGGAGGCAGCAGUAGGGAAUAUUGCUCAAUGGGGGAAACCCUGAAGCAGCAACGCCGCGUGGAGGAUGAAGGUUUUAGGAUUGUAAACUCCUUUUGUUAGAGAAGAUUAUGACGGUAUCUAACGAAUAAGCACCGGCUAACUCCGUGCCAGCAGCCGCGGUAAUACGGAGGGUGCAAGCGUUACUCGGAAUCACUGGGCGUAAAGAGCGCGUAGGCGGGAUAGCAAGUCAGAUGUGAAAUCCUAUGGCUUAACCAUAGAACUGCAUUUGAAACUGUUAUUCUAGAGUAUGGGAGAGGUAGGUGGAAUUCUUGGUGUAGGGGUAAAAUCCGUAGAGAUCAAGAGGAAUACUCAUUGCGAAGGCGACCUGCUAGAACAUAACUGACGCUGAUGCGCGAAAGCGUGGGGAGCGAACAGGAUUAGAUACCCCUGUAGUC